rnacentral:tRNA from 1 species
GUGGUAGUAGCUCAGCUGGUUAGAGCGCCGCCCUGUGGAGGCGGAGGUCGCGGGUUCGAAACCCGUCUACCACC